ensembl:misc_RNA 7SK 7SK RNA
GGAUGUGAGGGCUAUCUGGCUGUGACAUCUGUCAUGCCAUUGGUGGCCAGGGUUGAUGUAGCUCCCUCACCGUCUGUCCUGAAGCUGCACACUCGAAGCUGUGCAGUGGGUUGAGGAGUAUACAAGUAGCUGCAGUCCCCUGCUAGAGCGUCCAAACAAGCUCUCAAGAUCCAACAACCCCUGCAAGUUAGGUAUUGUUAUUUUUGUGUUACAGAUGAAGUUGGCUGUGAGACGAUGAGUAACAUUUCCAAGGUCACACAGCUAUUAAGU